rnacentral:rRNA from 1 species
UACAGAGGGGGCGAGCGUUAUUCGGAAUUAUUGGGCGUAAAGGGCGCGUAGGCGGCCUUUCAAGUGACGGGUGAAAUCCCUCGGCUUAACCGAGGAACUGCCUGUCAGACUGGAAGGCUUGAGGCCGGGAGAGGUGAGUGGAAUUCCCAGUGUAGCGGUGAAAUGCGUAGAUAUUGGGAGGAACACCAGUGGCGAAGGCGGCUCACUGGACCGGUACUGACGCUGAGGCGCGAAAGCGUGGGGAGCAAACAGG